rnacentral:tRNA from 2 species
GCCUCUAUAGCACAGUGGUAGUGCGUGUCACUCGUAAGCAGAUCAGCUCUCCCUUCCAAGGGUUGCCGGGAUGUGAUGACAAGGUCGGGUGUUCGAUCCACCCUGGAGGCA